rnacentral:lncRNA from 1 species
AUGCCUAUUGCAGCUUCCUUCUCUCUCCUGCGCAGUUCAUCAUCAAGCUGCCCCUACACAAAACUUCCUUUGCUCUUCCCUCAGAAUCCCUCAGCCCGCCAAUCAUUAGAAGAGCCAACGUCAAACUACAUUUCCCAGAAUCCCAUGCAUCCACGUCUUCCAGUCUUUUCUUACCUGCAAGGAAGUUGGUCUGAAUACCUAAUUACCUUCUUGUACACCACAGUGCCACCACAAGUGAGGAAAAACAAGAAGAAUAGGCAGAUGAGAACAAUUUGUUCCAACAGCCAUGAAACAAGCAAUGUGAAGGACUUCUCGUUUCCUCAAGAGAAGGGACAAGGAGAAAGAGAUAUUUACUUUGAAGAUAUAGGAAGCAAGGACAAAGGUACAAACAUCUCCCUUCAAU